CUACUGGGCAGAAUUUGCCAGAACUGGGAAUCCCACUGGGUUAGCAGCCACCAAGGAUGAGUGGCUACUCUAUAAUGCCACAGAGCGCAAUUUCUUCCUUCUUAAUACUGAGCCAUUCCAGGAAAGGGUGAAAGAGCACUGCGGUUUUUUAAAGAGCCUUUUUUCAAAGGAUGAAGAGCCACACAAGUCCGAAGGUGAUUCUGUUUCAUCAGACUAGGAAGAAGACAGGAGGUAAGAAUCCAGUGCUUGGUUGUAGUAAUGGCUGUCAAUUGGGAUCAAGUUGGAUGAUUCCAG